GACCAAAGUAAGAGGAAAAGUAAGUAAAAAAAGAUGUAAAUCGAGAUAAAUCAUUACUAAAUCUUGUUCUUACAGAUUAACAGUUCCUCUAACAGUGAGCCUGGAGGAACUAGUUUUUACGCCGAAAACAGGAAUCUCAAAUCAACUGCAGAAGAGGUCCGUGACGUAAGUGGCGAGAACAAACCGGAGGCAUACAACUCUGUCCCAUCCCCUGAUGACAAAUUACAACCCACUGAAGCUGAAACUCCUCAGGCGGUUUUCUCGAUUGAGCUUCCAAGGGGUGACGUUUUGACCGAGAAGAAAGACGAGGAGUGCAGUGAUGAUUGCGAGUCAUUUGUUCCAGCUGAUCUCCUUUCACUAGCUUGGCAGAUUGCAAAAGGCAUGGCUUACCUCUCCGGAAAGGGGCUCGUCCAUAGAGAUCUAGCGGCGCGAAACAUUCUAGUCGGACACGGUAAACGGCUCAAGAUCGCAGAUUUUGGUCUAAUGCGAGAAAUGUACCACGAACUGUAUGAGGUAAAAAAGCAUUCAAAGCUGC